GACGAACGCUGGCGGCGUGCUUAACACAUGCAAGUCGAACGCUGAAGCCCUUUCGGGGGUGGAUGAGUGGCGAACGGGUGAGUAACACGUGGGUAAUCUGCCCUGCACUCUGGGAUAAGCCUUGGAAACGGGGUCUAAUACCGGUUAGGACACAUCGCCGCAUGGGGAGUGUGUGGACAGUUCCGGCGGUGCAGGUUGAGCCCGCGGCCUCUCAGCUUGUUGGUGGGGGGGUGGCGUACCAAGGCGACGACGGGUAGCCGGCCUGAGAGGGUGACCGGACACACUGGGACUGAGACACGGCCCAGACUCCUACGGGAGGCAGCAGUGGGGAAUCUUGCGCAAUGGGCGAAAGCCUGACGCAGCAACGCCGCGUGGGGGAUGACGGCCUUCGGGUUGUAAACCUCUUUCGACCGGGACGAAGGGUGACUGACGGUACCGGUAGAAGAAGCACCGGCUAACUACGUGCCAGCAGCCGCCGUAA
rnacentral:rRNA from 1 species